AUGCCCGAGGAGGUUGUGCUGCCGCCCACCGCCAAGGAAGAACCGAAGACGCCUGAGGUUGGCGACGACGAGCACAUGGAGGAGCUCCCCAGCAACAAGCGCCGCAACUACGACCACUACCAUGAGGAGGAUGGCCCAACUCACUUAUGUUCAUCCUUGCACCGAAGGUUUGAGUGCAUCCCCAUGCCCCUGGACUUCACCAAGCACUUCGUCGCAGUGUCGACGGAGUUCAAGCUCAGGAACAACACCGACUGCUCCUGGAAGGUGACGGUGAAGCUGAUGAACGGCAGGGUGACCCUGGAUCAGGGUUGGGCCACCUACGCAGCCGUUCAUCAGAUCAAGAUCGGCUACAUGCUGACGUUCAAGCUCCUCACUCCCGACACCUUCAAGGUCAUCAUCUUUGACGACGAUGACAUUGAGGUCGUCAACAAGUGCGGGAAGCACGACGAAGCCUUCGCCGCCAAGGACUAG
rnacentral:rRNA from 1 species